rnacentral:rRNA from 1 species
AUGGAGGGAGUAGCGGGGAUGAUUAGGGGAAUAAAACUCUCAGAUGAGGAGAAGAAGGGGAUCAAGAUCCGGAGUAUGGUGAAGGAGAAGGGUAAAAGUGCUGGAGCGCAGGUGGUGGGCAAGCUCUUCUCCGAGAAGCUGGCGCAUACGGAUGCCAUCUCCUUGUCUCUUGGCAAAGUUUGGUGCCCGGUCAAGGGGAUAGACUACAAGGAGCUAGAGGAGAAUUGGUUUGUGUUCACGUUCUUGCAAGAAUCAGGAAGGAGGAGGGCUAUGGAGGAUGGGCCAUGGACGUUCGAUAAUGAUCUGUUGGUGGUAGAGGAGUUUGACCCAUAUAAAAGGCUGGAGGAGUAUGAAUUCAACAACACACCAAUUUGGGUGCGAGUCUACAACCUUCCCUUGGGCAUGAUGAACACAAAAUCAGCAGAG